GCCUUCGUAGUGUAACGGUAGCCCACUUGGCGAAUAUUCAAGACGUCCGGGUUCGAGUCCCGGCUAGGGCA
rnacentral:tRNA from 1 species